GCGGCUGUGUGGAUGGCGUGCCUGCACGCACAGACACACAGACAUUUGCCAGGCAGGACGGAAUGAGCAAGAAGGCCGGUGAGGCCGGAUUGCGAAUUCCGUCUGCGAUUGCGGGAGUGCCAAAGGCACGGAGCAAUCGGCUU
rnacentral:sRNA from 1 species